GACGAACGCUGGCGGCGUGCUUAACACAUGCAAGUCGAAGAUAGUGGCGAACGGGUGAGUAAUACGUGGGUAACCUGCCCUCCUUUUUGGGAUAAGCCUUGGAAACGGGGUCUAAUACCGACUAAAGGGGGAUGGGGUCGCGGCCUAUCAGCUUGUUGGUGGGGUGAUGGCCUACCAAGGCGGUGACGGGUAGCCGGCUGGAGGGGUAAAACGGAAACAUUGAGACUGAGUGACGGCCCAGAGUCCUACGAGAGGCAGCAGUGGGGGAUAUGGCACAAGGGGCGAAAGCCUGAUGCAGCGACGCAGAGUGGGGGAUGAGGGUUGUAGGGUUGUAAACCUCGUUCGAUAUCGAACGGGUAGGUGAAGAAGAAGCGCCGGCUAACUACGUGCCAGCAGCCGCGGUAAUAC
rnacentral:rRNA from 1 species